rnacentral:tRNA from 1 species
UAUGCCUUAGUAUAUGAUGUACAUAAGUUUUUGAUAUUUGGGGGGGCAGUUUAAUUCUGUCAGGUGUAA